GGAUCAAUAUGUCGGUCGUGCCAUCGGUACGUACUGGUAUCAUUGGUUUCUCCUUUCUGACGAACCAUGAUGUCAUUAAUUUGGUGUUAUGGGGAGUUAGGACUGUUACUUUGAAAAAAUUAGAGUGUUUAAAGCAGGCUUUAGCUUGAAUACAUUAGCAUGGAAUAAUGAAAUAGGACGUUCGAACCUAUUUUGUUGGUUUCUAGGAUCAACGUAAUGAUUAAUAGGGAUAGUUG
rnacentral:rRNA from 1 species